rnacentral:rRNA from 1 species
AUUGAACGCUGGCGGCAUGCCUAACACAUGCAAGUCGAACGAGUGGCGGACGGGUGAGUAAUGUCUGGGAAACUGCCUGAUGGAGGGGGAUAAGUAGUGGAAAAGGUAGAUAAUACCGCAAACCAUCGGAUGUGCCCAGAUGGGAUUAGCUAGUAGGUGGGGGAAAGGCUCACCUAGGCGACGAUCCCUAGCUGGUCUGAGAGGAUGACCAGCCACACUGGAACUGAGACACGGUCCAGACUCCUACGGGAGGCAGCAGUGGGGAAUAUUGCCCAAUGGGUGCAAGCCUGAUGCAGCCAUGCCGCGUGUAUGAAGAAGGCCUUCGGGUUGUAAAAUCCUUUCGGCUGGGAGGCGUUACCUGCACAGGAAGCACCGGCUAACUCCGUGCCAGCCGCCGCGGUAAUUC